AGAUCGAAUUCUUAAACUUUAGAGUCGUUGUCCAGACCAGCCGAGUAAAUAAGUUCCUUGGAAUAGGACAUCAUGGAGGGUGAGAAUCCCGUCUUUGGCUUGAGCAUUGGUCUUUUGUGAUGCGACUUCAACGAGUCAGGUUGUUUGGGAAUGCAGCCUUAAUUGGGUGGUAAAUCUCACCUAAAGCUAAAUAUUGGCGAGAGACCGAUAGCGAACAAGUACCGUGAGGGAAAGAUGAAAAGAACUUUGAAAAGAGAGUUAAACAGUAUGUGAAAUUGCUAAAAGGGAACCGUUUGAAGUCAGUCUGGCUGGUCUGCAAUCAGCUUCAACUUUGGUUGGAGUGCACUUGUAGGCCAUUUUGCCUGCCAACAACAGUUUGUUCUGCAGCAAAAAGGUGUUGAGAAUGUAGCUUUCUCUUCGGAGGAAGUGUUAUAGCUCUUCGCGAAAUACUGUGGUUCAGACUGAGGCUUGCAGUGAAUGCUAUUUUGGCUUUGGGGAUGGAUUGCUCAGUGCUUUGCUUGG
rnacentral:rRNA from 1 species